AGUGGGGUUCUUCUUCCUACCGCCGACACACUUUCAAGCCUUUGCAAAGCUUCGACCAGGCUGCAAUCGUUUGAUCGGUCGCGUCUUUCAGCCGAUUUUCUUGCAAUCAAUCUUCACCUUCUUUCCGUCGCACAGGUUUGAACUUCCUCUUCAGAUUUGCUUGCUUUUGAUAUUCAUUAUCUCUGUUUCUCCUUCUUUCUGUCGCACAAAGAGAGUAGGCGAGCUUCGUAGAUGCAUCGAUCGUCCACGAGAGGUGGUCACCGUCAUUGUUAAACCCUAUUUUUGUCCGAGUGCCUUUCCUUUUGCACCCAGGUACACCUCAGAUCUUGCAUUAUCUUCUACUUUCAAUGUUUC